rnacentral:rRNA from 1 species
UAACACAUGCAAGUCGUACGAGAGUUUUUAACUCAAGUGGCGGACGGGUGAGUAACACGUGAGAAUUUACCUUUAGGAGGGGGAUAACAGAGUGAAAACGCUGCUAAUACCCCAUAUGCUUUCGAGUGAAAUGGAUUUAUUCGCCUAAAGAGAAGCUCGCGGCUGAUUAGCUUGUUGGUAAGGUAAUGGCUUACCAAGGCGACGAUCAGUAUCUGGUUUGAGAGGACGAUCAGACACACUGGAACUGAGACACGGUCCAGACUCCUACGGGAGGCAGCAGUGGGGAAUUUUCCGCAAUGGGCGAAAGCCUGACGGAGCAAUACCGCGUGAGGGAUGACGGCCUAUGGGUUGUAAACCUCUUUUCUCAGGGAGGAAUUCAAUGACGUUACCUGAGGAAUAAGCUUCGGCUAACUCCGUGCCU